AUUUCUUUUCUUAGAAUUACUUGUACAUAAUUGUUCAUCUUAUCUAAAAAUAAUUAUUUAUUGUUAUUAAAGUUAAUUAUAAUUAUAAAAUUAAUAAAAGAUUGAUGUUAAGUAAUUAAUAAAAUGAGAAGAGAAGUAUUGAAAUUAUAUAAAGAUUUACUCAGAUACGGGGAUAAUUUAAAAUUAACUGAUAAAAAAUACUACAAGUUAAGAGUUAAGAAAGACUUCUAUGAUAAUAUUGAGUUGAAAAAUUCUCAAGAUAUUCAAUUUUAUUUAGAGAAAGGACGUGAGUUGUUACUGAAAAAAAGGAUUGUCUAGAUUUCUUUUAAUUAAAUUUUUAAAAAAUAUUUUUCUUACGUACCACAACUCAGUGAAAAAGAUUUAGAAGAGCAAUGGGUCAAAGGAAGUGGCCCUGGAGGCUCAGCAGUAAACAAAAUGAGCAAUUGUGUAGUUCUGAAGCACAUACCUUCAGGUAUUGUUG